CUACGGGCUGCUGCAGUGAGGAAUAUUGCACAAUGGAGGAAACUCUGAUGCAGCAACGCCGCGUGGAGGAUGACGCAUUUCGGUGUGUAAACUCCUUUUAUAUGUCAAGAAAAUGACGGUAGCAUAUGAAUAAGCACCGGCUAACUCCGUGCCAGCAGCCGCGGUAAUACGGAGGGUGCAAGCGUUACUCGGAAUCACUGGGCGUAAAGGACGCGUAGGCGGGUUGGAAAGUCAGGUGUGAAAUCCUACAGCUUAACUGUAGAACUGCACUUGAAACUUCUAAUCUAGAGUAUGGGAGGGGGAGAUGGAAUUAGUGGUGUAGGGGUAAAAUCCGUAGAUAUCACUAGGAAUACCUAAAGCGAAGGCGAUCUCCUGGAACAUUACUGACGCUAAGGCGUGAAAGCGUGGGGAGCAAACAGGAUUAGAUACCCUUGUAGUC
rnacentral:rRNA from 1 species